rnacentral:rRNA from 1 species
AUGGCGUCGCAGGGCCUGAUGGGCCCGCAACAUCGGGUGCCCAAUCGGGUGGUGGUGAGUGACCCGGGCUGGACCCCCAACGGUUCGCAGAGAAGGUUGGUGGUGCCAGCAGAGUUGGUGGAGCAUGCCGCAGAGAAGACGCCAGUUGGUGAGUUGGAAUUGGUCAAAAGUGGUGAGUUGGGCGUAUCGGAUGACAGCGACAAGGCGAAGGCUGAUGGUAGUGGACAGGGGCAGGCCGGGGAGGGUGAUUUGGAGGGUAGGGCUACCCAGGUGCCGGCGCAUCAGAUCCUAUCGCCCCGGGGCCCAGAGGUGGGAGAUUCGGCUGCCACCCACACAGAUGGAUGGGCGCCGAUAACUAAGUUGGGUGGGCCCCCUGUGCUUGGCCUGGUUUCAUUGGACACGCCCCCCAGGUUGAUUCAGUGA